CCUACUUUAUAUAAAUGAAUACCCAUAAAGAUAGCUCCCCACAUCUCCCAUAGCCAGUGGAAAUGAUAAAUUAUAGAUCAAUUCGGUUUCUACAAAUUCCCUAUAACACAAAUCAACUAAUGUCUUAGUUGCUGACAUAUCAUCAAGUUGAAGUUAUUAGCAGUAGAAAACAACUGUAACAUCACAAUUACCCAACAAAAUACCUAUGCAUCCACCAAUUCGUGAUAUUAAUACUAAGCUUAGAAAAAUCUCACCCAAAACUUUCUUGAAUGGUAAAGGAACAAAUUUGUGAGAUCUCCCUUCCCUGAUGCGAUUCCGAUGAAGAUCGACGCGAUUCCAGCUAGGAUCGAUGUACCACGGAGCUUCGACGCCUUGUAGCAGGCAAGAAAACGGAGAACGUUGCCCCCCCCAGUCAGAACACAAUCAGAGUUUCUAGGGCGCAAUAGUUCCUGCGCAGCGGCGGCGAGAGGUUCCUAUAUCUUCGAGUGGGGUCAGAGAUAACGGAGGUGGCCAACACAUAGGCUGCGAUGUAGCCGUGCAACGCAGAGCAAAGUUCGAUAGUGCCAGAUUGAAUUUAUUUCACAAACUUUGCCUUCGAUGAAGUCGAUGCCCGAUACCUGUAUGUUUGCAUCCAUAAUCAAAGAAAAAGAGAAUUAGGACCCCCAAAUUGAUAGGAACAACUAUAGGAGUGCAUUAAUAUCUGUGAAAUUGAGAAUAAAAAUGAGGAUUUAGUGGAUUUGUCGUGGCUGCAGCUGUCAAAAUGCCUGUAAAUCUUUUUUGAUAUUUUUCUGAUUUAAGCUCGCCGGACCAGAGACUGAGUGGGGCUGAGGAUCAUUUGGGAACGGUGAUGGAAUCUGGAGCUUAGGGACGACUGCAGCCGUCUUUUUUACCGGAAUCCUUGAAGAUAAGCGAGAGAUCGAGAUCUGCGAGCUGCACUGGGCUCCGGCGCCGCCUCCACCGGCACGGCGAGGCAAAGGGCGGCCCCCAUCUGCGACUCCGAAUCCUGUUCGUGGAAGACCCAAUUUCCCAAUUUUUCCACCUUGGAGGAAGAUUUUCCAUCGAUCUGGGUAGAAUGACCUUUUUUCCCCUCUUGGUUGAAAAUGAACAGUAUGUGGGAAUAGAAGUUCACUCGAAUUUGAAAAACCCACAAAUCAUAAGAUCUAUUCACGCCUCAUACGAACCCAACAGAAAAUCCCAUAAAUCUUGUCACUAGAAUCUGGAAAACCGAAGAACCUAGACCUGAAUCCCAAUUUGAAAACCAAAAAACACAAACCCCAGUCGAACACCCUCUUUCUUUUUCUUCGAUGAACAGUAAUCAGGAAAAUGAUGAUUUUUUUUGUAAGCUCGUCGGAACUCACGACGUAGCCCCGAUUCGUUCCCACAGACGGCGCCGGUUGAUAAAGCAUCUUAUCAACACCUAAACUAGAAAGCAAUGAAGGAGACAAGAUUUACGUGGUUCGGUCAUGAAGACCUACGUCCACAGGAGGUUCUUCGUUGGUUUCACUAUCUCAAGAGUAUUUUACAUAUUACAAGUGAAGUGCUAGAAUGAAUUGAUCCCCCUCAUGCUAAUGCUAAACCUUCUAUUUAUAGAUAACUAAUUGGGACUAACCCUAAAGCCCACGAAACAGAGAAAUGGAGCCCAAUCUCGGUGGUAAAGUUAGCUCUGGCAAGGUUGUCUCUGGUAGCUCUACACUCUGGCAGGGCUGGCAGUUCUGCUCUAUCAUGUUGUCUCUGUCUCUGUCUCUGGCAGGGUGGUCAGCUCUGCUCUGGCAAGGCGGGGAAGCUCUGCUCUGGCAGGGCGGGUGGCUCUGCUCUGGUGGCGGGUAGCUCUGCUCUGUCAAGGCGGUCAGCUCUGCUCUGUCAUGUUGCCUCUGUCUCUGUCUCUGGCAGGGUGGUCAGCUCUGCUCUGGCGGACGGGGUGGCUCUGCUCUGGCAGCGGGUAGCUCUGCUCUACACUCUGGUGGGCGGGUUGAUCUCUGCUCUGCUCUGCUCCUCGGCAGAGCUGGGGUCUGCUCUGCUCUGCUCCUCGGCAGAGCUGUGGUCUGCUUUGCUCUGCUCCUCGGUAGAGCUGGGGUCUACUCUGCUCUGCUCCUCGGCAGAGCCGGGCUUUACUCUCCUCUACUCCUCGGCAGAGUUGGGUCUGCUAUGCUCUGCUCCUCGGUAGAUCUGUCUCUGGUAUUGCUAAGCACAACAUUGAUGCAGAGUUUACUCCUCAUCAGGGCCUAUUUAGCUAAAACUCCCUUGUUGUACUGUUGAUAAUGGCAUGACAAUUUACAGUUUUACGAAGCAUGUUUAUAUUUAUACUUAGGCAUACGUGCCCACUGAGUACUCUCGUACUCAGCCCUGCAUAUAUUUCUAAAUGUGCAGGUUGAGCAGUGGUUGAUGAAGAUGAAGUGACAAAUAGAGCUUUUGUCAUAAGUUAAAUGAAUGAACUCUUGGAUACAUGUCAUACAUGUAAUCAGAUUAUGUUAUUCCGCUGCGUACUCUCAAGUACUAUGCCUUUUAGGUUAAGUUGGAUUCAUCCGAACCUACAAGUUUAUUUGAGUCUUUGUGAUUAAACACCAAUUAUCUUAUAAAGUCCCCUUCAUUUCCUUCAUUAGCAAUGAGUUGAGUUCGUUCCUCCAUCCUUUUCUCACUCCCUUUCUAUCCUCGCUUCUAAUCUCCCUCCCUUAGUCACGAUUUUCCGACUUAAUUAUCCUUAAUUGAGGCUGAUCGUGACAUAACUAAAUCCACACGAUAAAUCUAUUAAUCCUAUUAACUAAUUUAAUCCAGUUAUGAUGAGAGAUCACUUAAUUAAUCAAUCACUCUUACUAAAGCAGCAACGAUCGUAGAUUAGUAAAUUCACUAUAUCCGCUAGAUUUCAAGAAAAUCUACUAACUCCCAAUAGCUCCUAAGAAUAGCUCUGUGACACCCAAAUCUAAUUUAAUUUUAAAUGAAAACGCACACGAAAAAUCAUGACAAUAAAUAAAUAUUUAACGUGAAAAUAAAGAAAUAAAUAUCUUAUUUUAAAAUACUUUACUAAACAUGACAUUUUUAAGUAAACCUAAAUUUAAAAUAUUUGACUCGCCAAUUCGACCUUCCACGCGCCUCCGGCCUUUAAAACCUGAAAAUGUUAAGUAUGGGAUAAGCAUACAGGGUACACUCAAUGUGAGAACAUGCAAUAAUUGUCCACGUUAAUAAAAUGGUAACACAUAUGAUCAUAACAUUUCAUUACAUUUGCUCGCACGGUGGCAUACCAAGGACCUUUCCGUCCUGGACCCAUUCAACGGGCCCCUGGCGAUAAUAUAAUGGUUGCAACCUUAACUUUUACAUUUAUAUCACAUUGUGGCAUACCAAGGAUCUUUCCAUCCUGGACCCAUUCAACAGGCCCCUAGCGAUAUCCUCAAAAUAUACGUCAUAACACAUAUGGUAAACACAAAUUAUUAAAAUGGACAAUAAAUAAUCACGGUAUGUAUUUAAAUAAAUCUCACACCUAAAACUUGAGCUUUGAAAAAUUCAAUUUACUCGUCCAGCACCGUACAAUUACUAAAUAUAUACUUUAGUAUUAUGCUAUAAAUUAAUUGUAUAAGAUUGGUAAAGUGUUGGGGAUGAAAAAAUAAGAAAACUGUCGAGAGUAUAUAUAUAUAAGCAGAAAAUUUGUAUAGCUAGCUUGCAUGAGUCACAAGCCUAUUAUCUUAGGCUUAACUAUUCACUACUAGUUUUCCUUGCAAGCAAGACACGUGGCUUUGUGGGAAAGGUACAUAGCUACACUAUUAGGUAUACAAUACACACAUAUAUAAUAGGGUUAAUUGCAUGUAAUAUCAUGAACUUAACGCGAAAUCCAAAUUUAGCACGAAUUUAAAAAGUUCCAAUUAAUAUCACUACCUAUGCCCCGUGUCCAAUUUUAGCACCGUUUUUUGACGUGGCUUGUCGGCACAUGCUUCGAUCCUACGUGGCUUGCCGGUACAAGCUUCCGACCGGCGAGCCAAGCUCUCUCUCUCUCUUUCUCUCUCUCUCUCUCUCUCUCCNGGCGAUAAUUAAAUGGUUGCAACCUUAACUUUUACAUUUAAUCGCAUUGUGGCAUACCAAGGACCUUUCCGUCCUGGACCCAUUCAACGGGCCCCUAGCGAUAUCCUCAAAAUAUACGUCAUAACACAUAUUGUAAACACAUAAUAUUAAAAUGGACAAUAAUUAACCACGUGCAUGUAUUAAAAUAAAUCCCACACCUGAAACUUGAACUUGAAGGCUAACUUGAGAAAUUCAAUCAAAAGUUACGUCAUAGUCGCGCUGCACCUAGUCAGAUAAAUUCAAAUAAUAUAAUAUGAGGGUCUAUUUAUGAAAAUAAUUUAAUACUUAAAAAUCUAUUCUUUAAAAUCCUUAAAAACAUUGUCUUAGUUAAUAAAACAAAAUAAAAUAUUUAAAGAUCUUUUAAUUAAUAACAAAUCCAAUUUCAAUUAAAAAAAAAAAGUAAAGCCCAAAUUAAAGGUUAAUUUAAUAAUAAAAUAAGAGCCCAUCCCAAGCCCACCAUCCAACCAAAUUUUAAAACCUCAAUUGACUUCCACACACAACUCACGACACCCUAACUCCCUCUCUCUCUCUCUCUCGGCCUCCUGCUGCCGCCGCUAGAGGCCGGCGGCUCUGCCUCCCCAUCCCGUUUCCUCAACCUCUCUCCCUCUACCCUCAUCUCUCGCUCCCCGUCGAUCUCUCUCCCUCUCCCUCAUCUCUCGCCUCCCCCUGUCCUCUCCUCACCGCGCCCAGCUGCGGCCGCUCCGACGACCUUCGCCGCCUGCCAGAUCUGGCGCCCUCUUCCUUAUCCGGCCGGCAGAAACGGCCACCGCCUCCCCUCUUCCAUCUUCUCGGCUCGACUACAGCCGCGCCCAAAGAUCAUCUCCAAUUCCUCUCUACCAGUCUAUGUGUUAGAUUUGUUUCUAUUUGUUUCAGAUACUAUUAAGUUAUUUAUUAAGCAUCUGAAUUGCAAAUGAGUUGUUAUUUCAAAGGUAUGGUAUCAUGGAUAUGAGGAUUAUUGUUUUGAGGUUUAGGCUGUAAAUAUUGUAUCUGCAAGACUGCAACGAUAUAGAUCAAAUACAGGAGAUAAAUUUUGAAAUAAAACUAUGAGAAUUUACAGAAAUAAUAAAAUUACCAUUCGGAGCUUUGCAGAUGAAACGAAACGGGGUAAAGUUUCGAGGAUCGAAUGUUUGAAUUUGUACAGAUGUUUGGAAAAAUUCCAGAAAAUGAAACGUGAAGGCUGGAAUAAAUGUGGUGAAAUUGGCAUGAUACGUGGUUGAAAACAUAUGAAAUAAGCAUAUGUGGCUGGUAUGGAUGAGCAACACGUAAG
rnacentral:lncRNA from 1 species